rnacentral:rRNA from 1 species
AGAGUUUGAUCCUGGCUCAGAACGAACGCUGGCGGCGUGGCUAACACAUGCAAGUCGAACGCGAACGGCUCUUCGGAGCUUAUUAGAGUGGCGAAAGGGCGAGGAAUACUUGGGUAACGUACCCUACACACCGGGAUAACUGUGGGAAACUACAGAUAAUACUGAAUGAGACCACGACUCGUAAGAGUUGUGCUCAAAGGGCGGGGAUCUCUUCGGAGACCCGUUGGUGUGGGAGCGGCCCAAGUCCUAUAAGGUUGUUGGUGAGGUAAUGGCUCACCAAGCCUACGACGGGUACCGGGACUGAGAGGUUGAUCCGGCGCAUUGGGACUGAGACACUGCCCAGACUCCUACGGGAGGCUGCAGUAACGAAUAUUGGACAAUGAGCGAAAGCUUGAUCCAGCGACGCCGCGUGUAGGAUGAAGUCCCUCGGGAUGUAAACUACUUCAGGGACUACCAAGCAAGGACUGUUAAUACCGGUCUGCGUUGAGGAAUCCCAGAGGAAGCCACGGCUAACUUCGUGCCAGCAGCCGCGGUAAGACGAAGGUGGCGAUCGUUGUUCGGAAUUACUGGGCUUAAAGCGCAUGUAGGCGGAUCAUCAGGUGUCUUGUGAAAGCCCUCGGCUCAACCGAGGAACUGCUGGGCAAACCGAUGAUCUUGAGGCAGGUAGGGGCAACGGGAACUCUUGGUGGAGCGGUGGAAUGCGUAGAUAUCAAGAGGAACGCCAGAGGCGAAGGCGCGUUGCUGGGCCUGUCCUGACGCUGAGAUGCGAAAGCGUGGGUAGCGAACGGGAUUAGAUACCCCGGUAGUCCACGCCCUAAACGAUGUCAACUAGAUCGAGGGUUCUCUGACGGAUUCUUGGUCGAAAUGAAAACGGUAAGUUGACCGCCUGGGGAGUACGGUCGCAAGGCUAAAACUCAAAGGAAUUGACGGGGGCUCACACAAGCGGUGGAGCAUGUUGCUUAAUUCGAUCAACGCGAAGAACCUUAUCCUGGGCUUGACAUAUUUGGAUGACCAUCUGGAAACAGAGUAGUCUGCUCUUCGGAGUGAAACUUAUACAGGUGCUGCAUGGCUGUCGUCAGCUCGUGUCGUGAGAUGUUGGGUUAAGUCCCGUAACGAGCGAAACCCUUGUCGUUAGUUGCCAGCGCGUUAUGGCGGGGACUCUAGCGAGACUGCCGGUGUUAAACCGGAGGAAGGUGGGGAUGACGUCAAGUCCUCAUGGCCUUUAUGCCCAGGGCUGCAAACGUGCUACAAUGGCGUGUACAAACCGACGCAAGACCGCGAGGUGGAGCAAAUCGGAAAAAACACGCCCCAGUUCGGAUUGGAGUCCGCAACUCGACUCCAUGAAGUCGGAAUCGCUAGUAAUCGCGUAUCAGCGUGACGCGGUGAAUGAGUUCCUGAGCCUUGUACACACCGCCCGUCAAGUCAUGGAAGCUGGUAGCACCCGAAGUCGCCCUAUUUCAGGGGUGCCGAAGGUGAGAUCGGUAACUGGGACUAAGUCGGAACGAGGUA